rnacentral:lncRNA from 1 species
CAGGGAAGAAAGAAAGAGAGAGUUUCGUGCAAACCUUGAGGAACCGAAGCUGAAGCUAGAGCAGUUGGCAAUUUCAGAUUCUAAGGAAAGAAAAAAAAAGAGGUAAAAUUUUGUAAAUCUCCUGCUUAUUUAGUAUAAUUGAAUGUUUAAGCUGCAUAUAAACUUUAGUUAGGAAAAAUGAGUUCUUGGUUGAGAAAAUUUUCUCUUCCUGUCUUGCUUCAUCUUCCAACCGAGAGAAAGGCUUGAGAAAGAGAGAAAACAAAGCUCUUGUUUCAACUUCAGCCGAGAGAAGGAAAGAAUCUGGUUAGGUUACCUUAAGAACUUUGGCUCCAAAAUUUUACCUUGAGACUUGAUUUGUUACAUAGUAUCUUAACUGUAACCUGCAUGGAAGAGUUGUACAUGAAUAAAGAAACUUUUGAAGAGCUUCAUGUUGUAUAAUUAGUUGCCGCAUGCGUUUCUUUCAAUUUGGCCGAGAAGAAGGCCUGGUUCAGCUAUGGUUUCGGCUUCUUGGCUGUUCCUUGCAAACCCUUAGCUUCUAAGCUGACUUACAGAGUUGAAACCUGUCCUAAUGCCUCUAAACUUUAACCAGGAAAACAGGAAUGAGUAGGAACUAAACUAAGUGAUAAAGGGGGGAACAAGUUCACUGAUUACAGGUUGUUGGUCGAGGGAAGAAAGCAAAAGGUGCUUCUGACCGGCCAUUUUUUACCUUGAAAUGCGAGAACUGGGUGUCAAUGUCUUCAUAAGAAAUGUAGGUCUAUGUCUUGCUUCGAAACACUAUAAAAUUCGCCUCAAUCCGAUAAGCGUAGCUCCAGUUAUGAUCAAAAAACUAGAGGAUGGCAAAGCUGCCAUCUUCCUUGUUCCUCAUUGCUUUCUUUUAUUUCCCGAAUGCAUUUUGCUAUAAUGUUAGCCAUGAGAAAACCUUUUUUUGAACAGCAUUUCAUCUAAUUUCCAACCCUGUAAGCUUUCAUAAAUGAUAGCUAAGGUUGUUCUGAGAUUUAACAACUAUAUCUAGUUCCACGAGUAGAGUUAAAUUAAAGCAAAUGAGAGGAAAACUCAUGAUAGUUAUAUACCUAAAUUGGCUUCUAAUCACUUAAUAUUGCCUUUACAAAUAUUUUAUAAAUUAUUAAUUUGAAAAAUACGUAUGUUUCUUGAUUUAAGAUAAUAAAAUCAAUAAGUCUCGAAAUAAAUUGGGGAAUAAAUAUUGCGUGUAUUUUGUAUUUUAAGAUCAAACUCGAUUUUAAUAGUUUAAACAAUAAGGUAGAAUAAAUGUUGAAUAUGUUAUAUUUUAUAUUUUAAAGUCAAACUUAAUUUGAAUAAUUUAAAUAAUAGGUAAACAUCUACAAAUUGUAAAUUUAUCAUGGAAUUAUAUAUUUAUCUCAGGAAGUAGCUGCGUGCCAGGAAAUAAACCCGAGACUCGAGAGUAAUUUAUUUAAGAAUUUGGUGAGUGUUUUCCGAAUUUAUGUGUUUAACUGUUUAUGUUUACUUAAGUGAAAUUAUGUGAUAAAUAUGCUUAUUAUGAAAUAUUGCUAAGUGAUUCAUUGUAAAGUGUAUUUCAAUUGUCCCUCGCCUUCUAAGUCGAGAGUGCACUUUAUCGCACUCAGUUUAGUUGAGUUUGAAGGUCGAUAAUUGACUGAAUGUUACUGUAAGUGCGCAUGAAUCUAAGCCGUAUGUGUGUCCCGCCGCAUCGGCUGAAUUGGGCCCCAAAACCCUCUGUUCAAUGGACUAUUCUAGCCAGCAAAGGGUUUGGUCGGGUAGGACGGUAGAUUUAGAUAAAUGUUUCGGUAUACUCGAAUAUUACCAUGAGGUUGGGAGAUUAUUGAAUUGAUUAUUGAAUGUAGGGGAUUGUUUAUUGUUUUGGAGGACAUAAGGAGGUUAAUUGGCAGAAUGUACAAUGAUAUUGAAAUGAAUGUAUAAUGACAGUGAAAUGAGUGUCUCUUGACACUGAAAUGAAUGCUCAAUGACAUUGAAGUGGCUCUAAUGCGAGCACCGUAUCCUUUUAAAAGUGAUUGUUUAGUGAAGUGUUUCCCCAAUUGCUUAAUGAAAGUGAUUGUAUAGUGAAAUGUGCACUACUUGCUUAAUUGUACUGAUUUAAGUGUUUAUUAAAUGUUACUUGUUCGGCAAAGCUCACUGAAUUUUAGCUCAGCCCUUUUAGUUUUGUUUUCCUUACAGGAGUUGGUCGUCAGGGAACGAGCGAGGGAUCUUAGGAAGUUAACGUGAAGACUUUUGUGAUUGUAAAUUCUUUAGUUUCAUAUUAUGGUUGAAACUUUUGUAUUGAACUUGGUAUUGUAAAAGAUUUGAGCGUUUGGUUUUGGUUUAUCA